rnacentral:rRNA from 1 species
AACGAACGCUGGCGGCAUGCCUAACACAUGCAAGUCGAACGAGACCUUCGGGUCUGGUGGCCCACGGGUGCGUAACGCGGGGGAACCUGCCCUUAGGCUGGGAAUAACUCCCCGAAAGGGCUGCUAAUACCGGAUAAUGUCUUCGGACCAAAGAGUUAUCGCCUUUGGAUGGGGCCGAGUUGGGUUGGCUGGGUGUUAGGGUAAAGGCCUACCAAGGCGAGGAGCCGUAGCUGGUUUGAGAGGAGGAACAGCCACACUGGGACUGAGACACGGCCCCGACUCGUACGAGAGGCAGCAGUUGUGGCUAUUGGACCAUGGGCGAGAGGCUGAUCCACCGAUGGCGCGUGAGUGAUGAAGGCGUUAGGGUUGGAAAGCUCUUUUGACCGGGAUGAUAAUGACGGUACCUGGAGAAUAAGCGCCGGCUAACUCCGUG